GACGAACCGUCCUAACGUUGUUCGGAAUCACUGGGCUUAAAGGGCGCGUAGGCGGCUUGCCAAGUCCGGGGUGAAAUCCUGCAGCUUAACUGUAGAAGGGCCUUGGAUACUGGCGAGCUCGAGGGAGGUAGGGGUAUGUGGAACUUCCGGUGGAGCGGUGAAAUGCGUUGAUAUCGGAAGGAACGCCGGUGGCGAAAGCGACGUACUGGACCUCUUCUGACGCUGAGGCGCGAAAGCUAGGGGAGCAAACAGG
rnacentral:rRNA from 1 species